CUUAGGGUGGCAGAGCCAGGUUUUAUGCAUAAGUUUUAAACUCUUCAAACAAAAGUUCAAAUCCUUUCCCUAACA
rnacentral:tRNA from 1 species